AUUGAACGCUGGCGGCAGGCCUAACACAUGCAAGUCGAACGGUAACAGGAAACAGCUUGCUGUUUCGCUGACGAGUGGCGGACGGGUGAGUAAUGUCUGGGAAACUGCCUGAUGGAGGGGGAUAACUACUGGAAACGGUAGCUAAUACCGCAUAACGUCGCAAGACCAAAGAGGGGGACCCUCGGGCCUCUUGCCAUCGGAUGUGCCCAGAUGGGAUUAGCUUGUUGGUGGGGUAACGGCUCACCAAGGCGACGAUCCCUAGCUGGUCUGAGAGGAUGACCAGCCACACUGGAACUGAGACACGGUCCAGACUCCUACGGGAGGCAGCAGUGGGGAAUAUUGCACAAUGGGCGCAAGCCUGAUGCAGCCAUGCCGCGUGUAUGAAGAAGGCCUUCGGGUUGUAAAGUACUUUCAGCGGGGAGGAAGGGAGUAAAGUUAAUACCUUUGUUCAUUGACGUUACCCGCAGAAGAAGCACCGGCUAACUCCGUG
rnacentral:rRNA from 1 species